GCCCUGUCUAAGCAACUUUUGAGAAAGCAGUAUUCCUCGUUCAACAAAAUCAACGUACCUUGAGCUAGCUCUAGAGUAACGUAUCAAUUGAGACACAUCUUCUCCAUAUGCUGGUGCCUCUGGGAUGUUGCUACACAGAAAUGGAAAGUUGACUAUAGGAAAAUUAAAAUCAUCGCGUUUGUCAUAAAUUUUGGUAUUCAACCUACCAUCAGUAGUCAUUUCGAGAAAAAGGUCUAAAUAUGAAGCAGAUUUAUCUGUGUCGGUAGUAUCUUUAAUUUCAAGUUCACUCGGAUAUAUUAAAUGUAAG
rnacentral:lncRNA from 1 species